GACCAGACUCCUACGGGAGGCAGCAGUGGGGAAUAUUGCACAAUGGGGGGAACCCUGAUGCAGCGACGCCGCGUGAGAGAAGAAGGUUUUCGGAUUGUAAACCUCUGUCCUCUGUGACGAUAAUGACGGUAGCAGAGGAGGAAGCCACGGCUAACUACGUGCCAGCAGCCGCGGUAAUACGUAGGUGGCGAGCGUUGUCCGGAUUUACUGGGUGUAAAGGGUGCGCAGGCGGCUCUGCAAGUCAGGCGUGAAAGCUAGGGGCUCAACCCCUAAACUGCGCUUGAAACUGUGGAGCUUGAGUGAAGUAGAGGCAGGCGGAAUUCCCGGUGUAGCGGUGAAAUGCGUAGAGAUCGGGAGGAACACCAGUGGCGAAGGCGGCCUGCUGGGCUUUAACUGACGCUCAGGCACGAAAGCAUGGGUAGCAAACAGGAUUAGAUACCCGUGUAGA
rnacentral:rRNA from 1 species